AACGAACGCUGGCGGCGUGCCUAACACAUGCAAGUCGAACGCGAAAGGGGGGCAACCCCCGAGUAGAGUGGCGCACGGGUGAGUAACACGUGGGUAACCCACCCUAGAGAUCGGGACAACCAGGGGAAACUCUGGCUAAUACCGGAUGCGUCCGAGUUGGCCUCGGCCGACUCGGAGAAAGGUGGCCUAUGCUUGCAAGCCAUCGCUCUUGGACGGGCCCGCGGCCCAUUAGCUAGUUGGUGAGGUAACGGCUCACCAAGGCUGUGAUGGGUAGCUGGUCUGAGAGGAUGAUCAGCCACACUGGGACUGGAACACGGCCCAGACUCCUACGGGAGGCAGCAGUGGGGAAUUUUGCGCAAUGGGGGAAACCCUGACGCAGCAACGCCGCGUGGGUGAUGAAGGCCCUUGGGUCGUAAAGCCCUGUCGGGUGGGAAGAAGCCCUGGCGGCGAACAGUCGCUAGGGAUGACGGUACCACUAAAGGAAGCACCGGCUAACUCUGUGCCAGCAGCCG
rnacentral:rRNA from 1 species